UGAUGCAUGCAAAGCAAGCAGAACAAUUCCCAUUUAUUUUGGGGAUAAGAGGCUGUUGUUCUACAGCUGGGUGCUGUAAUGUCCGACCCAUGGAUGAAAGAGCAAAUGCUUUCCUUGGAGAUCACUGGUGCUAUCGAGCUGGGAUGUCCUGUCUGCUCUCCACCCCUCCUUGGAGGCUCCCAGCAGCAGCCUCUCUGUGUACAAAGCCAGGCUGGAUGCCUCCCUGCAGCUGUUCUGAGAAGGCUGGUCCCAAGCUGGAACCCAGAGGAGCAUCUUUUCCACAGGAAGGCACAUGGCUCACGUUGGUAUGAGCGUGAGACUGUGCAAGGGAGAUUAUGGCCACUGGCAUCCCAGCCCUGCUGCUGCACAUGGGCAGCUGCAUAGCCCUGGGUCAGCAUUCCUGGUAGGACAGGGCAGGGACAGAAGGGAUGGCAUGCAGUUCCCCACAAGAAUUACAAAAACAAGCCUUCUUCAGCAAUUUUUCACUGCAGAGCCGACUUCAUCCACAUCCAUCCAAGCUGACUGCCAAAUUUCCUGAAGCCUGCAUUGUCCACCCCCAGCAGAGAUGGGACUGGGGCCAGGACCCCGGCAGAUGAAGGAUGAGAACUCACAGUUAUACUGUGCUCAUAGCUACCUGCCAUAAAUCCGGCACGAAGCAGCUGUCUCCUGUGAUUCAUGCUGGGGAUACAUCCAGCUCAAGAACUGCAAAGCCCAGGAGCACCUCUGUUUGGACAGCCACUUUCCUGGGAGGAAGAGAACAAACUGUGAAAACCUUCUAAGUGACUGCUAGUGAAACUUCUCUUCGAGCGCAUCCUGGAAUGAUUUCCCAGCUGUGCCACGAGAGGAUUUCUAAAUCAGAUUGGAAAAACACAAGGGUUGCAAAUCUGCUUAGCAUGUACGGUGCAGGGCACAGUGAAGACAUUUCAUAAACAGAGAAUUCAUUGUUCACAUUCUUCAAAAGGCUCACGGUAGCAAUGAAUAAUUUAAGAUUGAGAGAGACAAAAGAUCUGAAGCAAGAGUGCUACCACGGGCUUGGAAUAAUACCUAGUACAAGCGUUCAGGUUUUGCCCAGUGCAAUUUCAGACGUGAUAUUCAAAGAGCAGUAUGAGUACCCUUCCUUUCACACAUGUGACAAGGGAAGUUGUUUGCUCUAUCAGCUAGCAGGCCAGUGGCAAGGCUGAGAACAGAGCCUGCAUGUGUUCUGUGUCUUUUCGGACCCAUGAGUCAACAUUUUUCAACGACCAUAAAUGAGCCUAUCUCCUUUCUACUAAUGAAUUCAUGUAUGAGAGAAAGAGAGAGAAAGAGAUGAAAAAAUAUAGGGAGGAAUGACCUUUAAAACAGUCAGAUUGUAUGAAAAGCCCAUUUUCAUCUUGUUCUACCCAUUUCCUCACCACUCUCUCAGGCUGAAUGGCUCCUAGGGGAGAACGGAAGCCAAUAGCUUUCCCUCAAGCUGCAAAAUGUGAAAUGUCUGCACAGACCUACCCAGACGUCCACAGGGAAAUAACUACGGCAUACAUCCUGCAUUCAGUUAUUGCACAGGCCAGCCAUGGUGGUAAUAAAGCCCUGAAUCUGUGCAGGAAAACAGAUGGCAUCGGAUGUAAUAAAUAUGACAAAUGGCAUGGAGGCUCCUGAAGAGUCACAGCAUAGUGAAAGGCUGCCAGCAGCUCCUGGUUCAAAUAUCUAGUAUUUUUCAAGUCUGAGUUAAGCCCUCUAACUUGAGAAAGGAUAAGACACGCACAGAGGGUGAAAAGCAAAAAAACAAAUAGCCAGCAACAAGCCCUAGAGGAAAUAAAAUCAGAUCAAGACUUAAGCCACGGAAAGACAGCAAACACUGUAUCAAGCAACUCAAAUCCUAACCCAAAUCACUUCUGCUGUCUUGUGUUUGAGUUCCACAGGGUGGGAAAGGUGCCUUGGUGUAACUUAGGGAGCAGUUACUAACAGGAGCAUCAUUGCUUUGAAGUGCUCAGAGUGGUGUGCUAAUGUCAGUAGUUAUCUCUAAGGGCAGACCCUCACUACUAAGUAACUUUUCUGCAGUCCAUCACAACAGCCCCAUCUUGUGGUUUGUCAGUUUGCAAUUUUUCACUUUUCACCAUUUGUGGUGCACAAAACACAGCAAGACGGACCACCAGCACCGAGUUCUACAUUACUUGCCCUCCUUAUGGUAACUCACCACGUCUGGGCAGUGAUUGGAACCCAGCAUGCAGGAAGCCUCGCUCCAGCUGGGCUGAAUGGCUGACUCCAGUGCUAAGGAUGGGUUAAAAGAACUUGCUAAACAUGCAAACCCAAAAUUAAACAUAGACAGUGAGAGUUUUGGGGUUUGAUCAUUUAAUUAAGAUUUAUUAAACUCACUUCAGCACGAACUGAAUCAUUCUUUUUAACGCCCAUGCAAGAGACACACCCAGUGAAAUCCCAAUCUUGAACAGGUCAAGACGAAGCCAGCUGGGGCUGAAACCCUAAAAUCCAUCAUUAAAUGUGCACGGUGACAUAGCAGCAGUGAAGGGGAACCACCAGACAGCUCCACGUCCUCGUUAUCCCGGAGGGGCAGCA